rnacentral:tRNA from 1 species
GGUCCCGUAGCUCAGUUGGAUAGAGCAUCUGCCUUCUAAGCAGAGGGUCGCAGGUUCAAGUCCUGCCGGGAUCGCCA